UCUGGUAAUAAUAGCGUUAUUGAACCACCUGAUUCCAUACCGAACUCAGAAGUGAAAAGUAACAGCGCCGAUGGUAGUGUGGGGAUUCCCCAUGUGAGAGUAGGACAUUACCAGAU
rnacentral:rRNA from 1 species